UUAUUAACAAAUUUAUAUACCAUAUCAACCCUAACUUAUUCUAAACGAUUUCUCCUUCUCUAAAACGUAAACCCUAACCUCCAACUCGUGUAAACCUCUUUCCUAAUUGUGGAUUCAAGCAAGAACACAACCUAGGGAUUGGAACGUGAACUCGCGAUAUCCCCUUCAAUUCUUCAUCAGGCGAGAUAGUUCUUGUGUCAAUUCCACUUAAUUUUUCAAGAUAUACAAAACCUCUCUAUCAAUUUCUGUGCCAGAGGGCAUCCGAAUUAAAUUCUUGGUAAUCUUGUCAUUUGGAGUCUUCCCAUUUUUCGUGCGGUAUUUUGUGGAUCGAAGCUAUGCAAACACAUGUGCAGGUAAAAUGUUGUUACGCUUCAUCUCAGCAAUCAGAUAAUAGUAGCGUUCUAUCAACCGGUGAAAUGUCUCUCCUUUAACAACUGUGAAAAUAUCGAACUCCUUUCUUUAUCAAACCAACUUUACUCUUGUACAUGUCGACAUUUCCUCUGUACUUGUCGAAUAAUGCUAUCCAAAGUGAUUGAGUUGUUCCUUUGUGCCGAAGCAAAUGCAAGAUUCACUCUUAUAGCAUAUAUCAAAUAUUAACCAUAGCUUUUCGUUUGUGCUUUAUUAUCCACUCCUCAACCACACAUAAGGUCUCAUUCUUGAACAUUUGUUUUUGUAGUUUUAUAUGAGCUU
rnacentral:lncRNA from 1 species